rnacentral:lncRNA from 1 species
ACGUGUUAAUUCAAUUGAUAAAAAAAAAUAGAAUUAAUCAAAAGGACAUGAAGCAUAUUAAAGAGAAAGGUAUAUGAUAUUACAUUCGACAAGGAAAGUAACUGGUCUGCAACAUUGCAAUGAAAUCAAGCACAUAUUAACAUGAUAAGAGUUAAGAAAACCAAACCCAACAACCAACAUAGCCCAUCACAAUAUCUCAUCAAAACUCCAAAGACCCAUCUUUGUUUUUAUGGGACCCACCAUCCAGCUAUAAGGGUUUGUUUGGUUUUCCUCUCACAAAAGCAUUUUCUGACCAAUUUAGGCCAACUAUACCAUGACAUCAUGUAGACAUUUUACAAUAAACAUUCAAUGAAAAAAAGCUAUUCUUUUGCAAGAUAUAGUCAAAAGGUAUACACAUAUACUGAGGGAUUAACUGCAGCCAUCCGGUCCGGGUUCAGCGUGAAACUACACUGGCCAGGCCACAGAACAUGAUAACUUAGACAAAAAAUAAUGGUGCCGCUUUUGUUUUAAUGUAUCAACUAGUAUACACUUUGCCUCCUAUGAUUAUCAUCAUGAUCCGGUUGAUUGAACAAAUUGUAGCCCUAUUUGCCGCUUUAUGUGGUCAGGUAUCAACUUGUUAACAAGCUCUGGGGAUGCUCCUGAUAACUGUAAACGGGAAGAGUAACAUUAUAGUUGACCAUCAUUUUUGUUUAACUAGGAUGUUGACUGGGAUCACACAUGUGUAGAUGUUAUCAUUCUGAUCAAGAAAGAUAUUUUAAGGACUUACUUCCUGUUUAAAGUUGAAAAGAGGAGGAAAUGGGCGACCAUUAGGCAGACGGGCAUUGGGUUCUCGAAGAUCAUCAAAGAAAGGAUGUGCACAAGCUUCAAGCUGCAUAACAAAAUAAGUUGAUAAGCUAGUUUUUCUAUUAAAAAAAACUUAUAUUUGUUGAUUAAUCGAAUUCAGAACAAGUCUAGACUGAUGAAAGAGCAAUAUAUUUGAAUGGAGAUCAACAACACUCACCGCAGUGCAACGGAGACUUGGGGAGUACUGCAAAAGCCGUGAAGCAAGAUCGAUAGCUUCUGGAGGCAUCUUUUUGUGGAAGAUCUGCACAAUUUAGAAGUAUUGGAAAAUGUGAAUAUUUUUAUUUAAGCAACUCAAAUUUGAUCAAUUAGCAGUUAGAGAAGAGACUAAAAUGCAGACCUUGUGCCAUGGGUGUGCUUUUAUUUGUGGAAACCUAAAGUCAUUGUAAUUGGGAUUCAUGCAACGAACUUCCUCCCGGGUGGGUGUUCCAAGCACCUGCAUCAGAGUUCCAAAGAUCUAAUUAAUCAUGACAUGUAAAAGCAUGAUUUAAAACAUAUGUUUCAUGCCGACCCCAAUCGCACCUUUAUAAUAUGUACGAGCUGGUCCACCGCAUUUUCACCAGGGAAUAAUGGCUGCAAAAGAUCCCGUUUUAUUAAAUGACAUGAUGACAGAUACUAAUAGAAAUGCAUCAUGUUGCAGUAUAUGAUGAUGAUGAUGAUGAUGAUGAUGAUGUCGACGAUUAUAAAAACAAAACAAUGACACAAACCUGGCCCAAAAGAAGUUCAGCAAGGACACAGCCACCUGACCAAAUAUCAAUUGAAGUAGUAUACUCUGUGGCACCAAAUAUAAGCUCUGGAGCUCGAUAGAAUCGUGAACAUAUGUAUGAUAUAUUAGCUUCGCCCUUGACCUGGCCAGAAAAAUCAAAGAUCAGUCAGUACUUGAAAAAUAAGCAUAUUAAAAUAAGAUGAGUAGGUCAACAUACCAGCAUUUUCGCACUUCCGAAAUCACAUAGCUUAACUUGAUGUGAAAGAGGAUCAACCUGGGGAAUACACAUAAUAACAUCAGGGACAAAAGUAAUUAUUCCUCUUACAAAAGAAAUCUGAAUUGUAAUAUACAUUCAGCAACAGCAUAUUAACAAACCAGUAUGUUUUGAGGCUUUAAAUCCCUGUGGCAAACUCCAGGAACAGUAUGGAUAUAAGCCAACCCCCUAAAGAUCUGCAUGCCCGCCACAAAUUUUUAGCAGACAUUAAAUGAAUAAAUCAGACAAGUUUAUUAUUCACCAGAAAUUCGACGGCGUACCUGGUACAUGUAAAGUUUUACAUAGAUGAUUGGUAUUCUUUGAUUUGCGUUGUUAUAGUGCUUUAAGACCCGAUACAUGGAUUCUGGAACAUAUUCCAUCACCAAAUUAAGAAAAAGUUCAUCUGUACUUGUAGUUGAAAAGAAACAAUGCUUCAGAGUGACCACAUUUGGAUGAUCCAUCACACGCAUCAACUGUAGUUCACGGUUCUUAUAUCUCCGGUCUUGUAAAACCUUUUUAAUGGCCACUGCCUCUCCGGUUUCCAAGCAUUUCGCCUAAGAGAACAAAAUUAUCAGCAUAUGGAAGGAAAAAAAAGGUGGAGACGGCAACAGUUACAAAGAAUCUAGUAUUAGCAUACCUGGAAAACAAUUCCAAAUGAUCCAGUUCCUACAACACGUUCUGCCAUGUAACUAAUAGUCUACAAGAAUCAUUGUACAAGAUGUUAAACUUGUAAUACAUGAUAAAUGACAAAUGGAAUUGCUAACAAAUCAGCGAACUACUCGAACUCAAAACUGUAAUUUUAUCGGCGCAGCGGGAUUUACAAAAGGCUUUACCUGUUUGGGUUCACCGUUUUUGCCUCCAAUUGUUGUAGAUAUUAUUUGACCAGUGAGAGAAUCAUUCCCGUUGAUAACAGAAGUAGACAUCUCCUGUUGAAAUUAUACCGUUAAUCACAAGAUAUAUGAAACAUUAGCAUAUUGAGCUUCUCACAAAAAUAUUAAUAAACAGUUUGGUUUCAAAAUGAAGCUAAAAAUAGAAAGCAUAUGAUUAACCAAUUGGUAGACAUAUAAAAAAUAGUAAGGAAAGGCUGAGAUGAAGAACAAGAUUCAGAGUUAAACCAUCACAUAUCAACAGCAUAAUCAAAGGAAAGUCUCUACAAGAUAUAACAUGAAGAAGAAAAAAAACAUAAUCAGAAAGCUUAAGAAGGGAAUAAGCUGUAAACAUUAAAGAUCAAGGAACCAAGAACUAUAGCAACACAAAAUCCAGAGGACAAACUUUGUUUGCUUUAGACUUUCAUUGAAAAAUUUGAAGUAAGAAACAAAAACUCAACAAAAUAUGCUAUAUUAAAAUUUUAAAUCAGUGCAAGAGCUAGAAUCACAAAUCAAAGCGAUGAACAACACAGAAAGCAAGCAAGAUGCGGUGAAUAACCAGAAAACAAUACAAGUUCAUGACAACAAAUCAUUGAGAGACCAACUUUGAUAAGAACCAUGAUCUGAUCAUAACAAAGUGUCGGCAACAAACAAAUCUUCAAAAAAAAAAAACCUAGUUCAAAACUUCUCACCGUCAAAAAAAAUUGAAACUUCGGGGAAACCCAUAGAUCAACUCAAAAAUUACUAAAAUGGGUCUUCUAUAGUACCUCAAAGACCAAAUUUUAAGCAACGAAUCGAAUUUCCCCCAAAAUAACAAACCCUAACAUUCCCUUUUUCAGCAAACAAAAAAAGGAAACAAUCAAACGAAAAUCACACAACACAUAAAAAUUCCGCUUCAAACUAUUACAAAAACAAAACAAAAUCAAUUAUUCCAUUCAUGAAUCACCAACUUUCACACCAACCAAGAAAUUUACAUAUAAAAAAAUACCAAAAAAAAAAUUUCUCGCGGUGAGAAAAUACCUUAUCCUCAGCCAUGAGGGAGAAAGGAGGGAGAGAGAGAGAGAGAGAAGAGAGAAGAAACUAGGGAAGGGUGAAGAAGAGGGAGAUGGUGGAAGAGAAAGUAAGAAGGGAAUGGAGGACCCAGCAAGAGAAAGACAAGUCCAUGUGAUUCCAGCUCUUCUUUUUCUCUUCUCUCUCUUUCUCUCUCCUUUCUUUUCUGUCUACCCUUUCUUUUCUUUUUCUUUUUUUAUUAUUGUUUUCUUGUUUUCUUUUUUGGACUUUUCCUAUUUGUCUUUGACCCACUUUGUAGAUUAGGAAGAACUUGCUAUUAAUACAAUCAUUAGACGUGCUUAGUUUAAUUUGUCGGUCAAAAAUAUAUUUCUUCUCAUUUCAUUUAGUUUAAAGUUGAAUUUUUUGUUCACACUUAUUAGUAUUUGAGUUUAAAAAAAUUACUAGCAAUUAGUGAAGAUUAUAUAAAUUUUAUUUUUUAAAUAUAAAUUUAGUAAGGGAUGGGGCGGAGGGUGCUCCGUUGACUCAGAUUGCACAUAUUAUUAUAGUUUUAUUGUUAUUUUUUCUGCGUUGUACUUGUUUUUUUUGUCAUGUUUUUAGGUACAUUGCCUAGAUAAAGUCUUUCACGAAAAAAGAAAACGAAAAGAGCAAGAAUCGGAGAUUUUCAAUGGAAAAUACACACAUGGUGUUCCACAUGGCGUUGGUCAUGCGGGUAGCCAUGAUGUGUAAGCUUUCACCCACGUUUCAACAACCACAAGACCACGUAUUCCACAUUUUGUACACAUGACGAACGUCAUGCGUAGAUGGUGGGUGCCAUCUUCUUAUUCUGCACCGUGUCAAGGGCGGUUGCUAGGAAAAGGUCAUGACUAGAGAUUUUUUCUCCACACUAAUUUUGAAAGUGUUAUGUAACCUCUGAGGCAUUAUUACACUAUAAAUAGGAUUUGGGUUUUUAGUUAUAGGUAUUCAAGUCUAGUUGCAGCAUAGGCUAUAGAGUCACACCGUUAAAGCAAUAAUUCUUCACAUCAGAGGAUUAUUGCACCAUUAUUGUAAUCAAAUUUGGAGCAUCGUAUAGUCGAAGUUAAUCUUGCCAUCAUUUUACUUUCAAGUCAUAUUUAUUUCAAGUUUGUACCAGAUUCAAGUCUCCGAUUUGGAGCAGGUUUUUAAUUUAAUUCACAAUACUAUUAUUUUAUUUCUCGGUUCGCCUUUAAUUUGUUUAUUUCUCGCUUCGCCUUUAAUUUGUUUAUUUCUUGUACCGCCUUUAAUUUGUUUAUUUCUCGCACGGCCUUUAAUUUGUUUAUUUUCCUUGCACGAUUACUUGUCAGAUUUAUUAUAGCAAAAGAUUCGUUUUUUAAACCAUACUUUGAACGUAUCAUUCAUGUGGUUCACUUUUAAAACCAGCUACACAUUUAACACUUUAUUUCCCUAAAUGACUUAUUCCAUAAAUCAAUUAUAUGCUAUGUUGUUUAUCGUAACCCUGUCUAACUAAAUCCUUAGUGCUGGAAUGUGAGGAUCGUCGUUUCGACGGUACUCUGCAUGUUGUAUAUGUAGGAAUAUUUUUGGGGUUGUUUUGAUUUUAAUACAAGUUUUCUAUGUUUAAUUUGAUCAGUUACUACAAAAGUAGAUCCAUGACUAAGUCGGGUAAGAUCAAAAGUCGUCUGACAUCUAAGAAAAAACUUGGUUGGCUUUUAAUUGAUAAAAACAGCGAAAGCAUUUUGUUAAAUUAAUUAUGAUAUUUUAAUAUUAUUAUAAAGUUAUUUUAAAACUAUUUUGGAAUGCGUUUAUAGGUUUAAGAUCCGGUUGAUCGAGCAUAUGUCGGAAACACUUUUAUGUUAAAAGUUUCCAAUCAAAAACACUUUUCAACUGAGCCUUAGAGAUAAUUAUAUAAAAAAUGACUUUUUCACUUUAAUGCAAAACACGACCGGUGCAGCGUGAGCGGCUGGUUAAAAUUAGAGGUUAGGUCCGGUUCCGAUUACGCUAACGCGACGGUUCCUUUUUAAUUAACUUUUUUUCAAGGAAAAAAAUAUUGCCCCAUAAGUAAUUCUAUUUAGAAACAAUAUGAGUAUUAUUUAACUGAUAUGAAUUACAUUUCAAUAUCAUUUUCUCUAAAUUUAUCUUCACUAAUUUUUAAUUCAUGUGCACUCUAUACACCUGCUUGAUUAGCCUUAGAUAAACACUGUAAUAAUAGUAAUCGAUAGAUUGACAUUGAUCUUUGUGGGAUCGAUGAUCUUUUAUAUUACUCUAACGUAUUUCGUAUACUUACGGAAAGCAUGCAUCAAUCUAUUGUAUUGGUUAAUUUUGUCAUUGAUGUUUGGAUAGGAUCAUGUCAAUAUACAAGUUCAUUCAAUUGUGCAGGUUAUACUUUGUGUCAACUUAUAGGUUGCAUAGUAUGUAUCAAUUAUGUAUGUUCAACAUGUGUAGGUUCAAGUUGCACAAUUUGUAUUAGUUAAUUUUUUCAAAUUACAUGUUGUGUAUGUUCAAAAAAAAUUACAUUACCUAAAAUAAAGGAUUAUGCCAAAAUUACUUUUCAUUAAAACAAAUAAGAUGUUAUCACAUUACACCCAGUACGUCACUUUAUAUGAGAUUAAAACAAAUUAAUUACAAAUUUUAUGUAGGUAUUAUGCUAAAACCUUAUUUUAUUAAAACAAACAAAUUACAUCACAUUACACUCAGUACGUCACAUAACAUUACACUAGAAAAUUACAUUACUUUAAUACAUUUGUUACAACUAAUGCAAACACAAGUAACAAUAUAUACACCAAAGCCAAACCCAAAAAAUAACCAUAAACUUAAUCUUCAUCUUCAACAUAUCUUCAUUUUUAUUUGUCUCUUUGGUUAAAUCCACAAGCUCGUCAUUCUUAUCUUUCAAAAAUUUAUUCACAUCAUUUACACGGUUGCUCGUGUCUUCAUCAAACCAUUCAAAAUAGUUACAUCAUUUUUUCCUCAUCGCCUUAAAAUUAACAAAAUAAUAAAAUACUAUUUUGGGAUUCUCGUAAGUCCACGAUGUCAUCAAUAUUGACUCAAGCUCAUAUUGAUAUCUAUUCAUUCUUCUUCUUAGACUGACCUAAUUUGUUGAGACAAGUGAGAAUCUUGAUCUAGUCAUGGAUGAAAAAGGGUGAAAGAAGAAGAAAAAAGAAGAUGAACAUGAUCAAAGAAAAGUGGGUGCAAGAAAAUUAGGGAUGAAUGAGGUGUUGGUUCUACAAAAGAAAAACAUGUGAUGAAUGAUGAUAAAAUAAAGGGGAUGGGUAAGGGUUACCAUUUUAUUUAUGUUUUUUAUAGUUAUAUUAUAUAUCAAUAUAUUAGAAAAUGUUUAAAAUGGAAUUAACCUAAAUAUAAAAUAACAUAAAUGAAUUGAAAUAAUUUUAUAGUGACACAUAAGCCAAAUUAGUGUCAUGUCAUUAAAAAAUACUAUCAGAUUUGAAAGGGGACUAAAAUCCUUAAAAAAUAUAUAAUUAAAGGGACUAAGUUAACCGAUUUUAAAAAUGGAGGUACCAAAAUUGAAAUUUUAGGAUAAUAGGGGGACCAAAGUUGCAAUAUUAAGCAAAAAAAAAUUGUAAAUGACUUUGGUAUUUUAACUUUUUAUAAUAAACUAUUCUAAUAAAUAGUUAUUAUGAGGAGAUUCAAAUUCUCAUUCAUGGUUGAAUGGGUUUGUUCAAUCUCAACCAUUCAUUUUAGUUUAAUGCAAUGUUAAAAAAGUGUGAAAACUUAAUAUAGUAUCCAUGUGUUUCAAAACUCAAGUUAUAUUUAUUUUUGCUUUAAUGUUUUUUUAUUCUCGUAUCUAUUCCUCAGGAUUCAUUUUAGACUCAUAACUUUUAAAAUGUUCAAAUUGAUCCCUCUAUUUUUUUAAAUGGGCCACAUUUGUCAUUUAUAUUUAUUUCAAUCAAACAUAGUUAUAUUUUGUCUACGUGGCAUACUACUUGAUUUCCAUGAAAUUUAUCUUUUAAAAAUUGAGGGUCACAUUCAUCAUAUUUUGUUUACCUAGGUUGAUUUGAAGAAUUGAGGGAUCAAAAUGGACGUUUUUAAAGUUACGAGACAAAAAAGAAACUCUGAAUAAGAGACACGGGACAAAAAUGGUAUUAAGUAUUGUUUUUGUUGUAAUUUUUAUCAUAUAUACUAACAUGGAACAAGUUACCGUCUUGAUGAGGCCCAUGGAAGGAGCUAUGUAGUGAUAGGGGGCCACGACCAUUCCAAACAUUUUUUUUAUAUCGAUGAAAAUACUAAAAUAUCUUUGGUUAAUUUAAAAUUUUACCGUUUUGUCAUUGCUCAACCCUAAUAUUUUCUUCUCUUUCAUUUGAAGUAUAUGUUUUCCCCUUUUCUCUCUUUUCUCAUUUAUUGAACAUAACUCCUUCAUUAUUCUCUUGUCAUUGUCGUUGUUGCAUGUUCUGAUACGCCACUCAUCGUCGUACGUACGUCCACUAUCGCUCGGUUGCGUGCUUUGCUCAACCAGCCAUUCACCAUUGCAUUUUUCCCAAAGUGAGUUUGUGAGUCUAUGAGUUUUCUUUUCAGACAAUUCAUUGAUUUUUUAUGGGAUUUUUCUUAGAAUUUUUAAGUUCUUAUUCAUACACCACUCCAACCGGUGAAGACGAGUACUUAACCGGUACCGCAAAUUUCCGCAUGUUCAACACCGAGUACUCACUAUCCCAGGACCAGUUGAGUGUCAUGCUACACUUUCCUGUAGGAGACCAAGUCCACCCAAGAAUCCCUCCGAACUCACAGUGGCACAUAAACGCCUUCGACUCUUUGGAAAAAUAUCCGGUGUGGAAACCAAUAACUGGGAUGCACUACUUGCUUCACACAUACAUAACCCCACUAUCCGGUAUUUUAUCCGUAUUCUGCAAAACACCAUUUUUGGUAGACCCAACAACAACAAGAAGCGAGGAAUGCAAUAACCGACCAGCGGUUCACUGACUUGCUCAACAGGUUUGAUGACUUGGAAGUACGUCAACGCUCACCGGGUCCGAGAACAAGAGGGCGCAGGCAUAAUUGAGCAUUUUAUUUAUUUUUUUCCUUUCUUUUCGCUUUUCUCUAAAACAUUGGGGACAAUGUUUUAUUUAAGUGUGGGGGGGAAAACUUUGUUUCAGUUAUGAUUAUUUCUCUUUCAACAUUCCUCUUUCAAGUAUGUCAUUUCCCUUUCAUUUAAAAUAUAUAUAUAUAUAUAUAAUAUAUAUAUAUAUAUAUAUAUAUAUAUAUAUAUAAUAUAAUAUAUAUAUAUAUAUAUAUAUAUAAUAUUUUAUUUAAGUCGAGUCCCUAGUGUGAAAUUUUUAUAUCUAUUCCCCUCAUUUUUCUCGAGCCAUAACAAAAAUUUAACACACUCGAUAAGUAUAAAGGUUGCUUAUUUUAUAAAACUUGAGGGAAUUAAGACAAAAUUAUUACCGCCCCACCAACACUCUAAAACCUCAACAUGUUAGAUCAGGCUAAGUACCUAUUAUACCAAUUCCUUGAACUUUUAGUUUUAUAGUAACCCGCGAGUAGUUUAUACGAGAAGUCGGCACCAUCUUAAUAGCAAACUACGUGGAGAGCCGAUGAAUAUAAGUGAUGAUUCCCAAAACAAUAUAUUAAAAUCAGGAAAUGCACUAAUUAAGUAGGUGAUCCUUACCCGAUCAUUUAAUUCAAAGGUUGCGGACCCUAUAAAACAUUGUAUGACGAUCCAUUGUGAGUUGGUUCAGCGGUUUCUGGUGCUGAACUUGGUAGGGCGGACUACGAUCCGAUCCCCCGCAAUUUGCAAUGGACUAAAUAACGAAGUUAUCCAACUUAUGUACCAGAACUUCUAGCUAAAAGGGGAUCAGAAUCGCUAACCGGUACUCCAUUAUGUGCGCGAAAAGAUAAAGGCUUAAUGUGAUUUCGCUAGAAUGAAAACGGGUGAAAUAAGAGUAAAAGAACUAGGAUAGCUAUAAUAGCGUGACUCGAACUGGUUUGCAUAAGGUGGGGUUAUCUGAUGUUGUUACAGGAAUUUGUGAUGUUAAGAUUAAGCUCAGGUUAUUUCUAAACGAGAUUUACUUGCAACCUAAUAUGAAUUGAUGUGUGUUUAGAAUUUAUCCGGCUAAUAUUUUAAACGACUUCUAUAUUGUAUCUUGCUUGAGGACAACAAAAUCUAAGUAUGGGGGAGUUUGAUAAAUGAAAUAUCACAUUUUUGGACUCGAUUUAAUUAAAUUAUAUUAUUAUUGAUUCGAUUUAUUUAUAUUAUUCGAUAUUACUGGUAUUUUCCUUCUAUUUUAUCUUCAGGUAACAUUAUUUGAAGCAUACGUGAAAGAAGAAAAGGGGUGCAAAAAGGAUUCUCUAGGAAAAGCAUUCCACUAAAGCCCAACCACCUACAAGGAGAAGCGUGUGACGUUGUGACGACCGCCACACAUGGUGUGACGAGCGUCACGCCUCCUGCUUAGUGUUACGAGCGUAACACAUGGUGUGACGGACGUCACACCCCCACUCCUAUUUUUCUGCUUUGACGCGCGUAACAGAAGCACGUUCGCCCCUUUCUUCGCUUGACUCGUUGACGCUUUGGAAACCUACUGAAGAGACUUUGGAAAAACGGUUACUUUAUGGAUGAAUAUAAAUAGACCCCAGGGAUCCAAUUGAGGUCUCCUCUCUUUUUCCGUCGUGCAAGUUUUUACAGCAAUAUAUUUUCCAGCAUUCCAUUUUCUCAGCAUUUUUAUUUCCUUAGCAUUUUAUUUUCUUUUCUUUGUUAGCUUAAUUUUUUAGGCAUUCAAUUAAUUUUCUCACAAUAGUUUCACACACGAAAACUAUUGUGUAACUUUACUGGAUCUAACCUUAUUUAGAUCAUAGUAUUUUACUUCUUUGUUUUAUUUUAUCUGUCUGAUCGAAGAUUGUGAAGAACAAAUCCACGCGUUUGUGGUGGAGUGUUCAAGCAUCGAAGCUAGGGAAAACCAAGAUUUCUAUUAAUUUUACAGGUUCAUUAGUUUAUGUUUUAAUUUAUAUAUGCUUUGUACUGGUUUAUCUAUAUUGUUUGUCUGAUAUGGCUGUAUUUAAGCAUAAUAAUUGUUUAGGCCUGUUUAGCAUGUCGGCUAUUAAUUUAGAUAUCGGAUGUAAAGUAAGCGGAAUAAAGGAAUCAAAACUGAGUCGGUUUAAAUUUAUUUAAAAAUAUAGUCACUCUUUUUAUGGUCUCAAUUUACAGAGUUAAUACCAAAGUUUUUGUACGAGAGUAAAAGACAUAAAGAAGUUAAAAUCAAUAGAACGACAGUUUGAGCUUUUAACUGGACAGUGUAAAUUGGACAUUAACUUUAAUCAGGGCGAAAGCAAUUUUUAGAUUUAAUUAAAUUCUAAUCAUUUCAAAAGUAUUUUUAAAGGUUAAAUGUGAGGACGAGAGUUAAGCAUUUAAGUUUAAUCAUAUAAUCUAAGUCAACAGAGCGGGAGUUUGAGACGAGGGUGUUUAAACGGUUAGUAUUUUAAUAAAAAGAGUUUCUAUAGCAUUCUAUUGUUUUCAAAAGUGAUUUUAGAUUAACUAAAUAGUGAGAGCGUACGUUAAUAUAAGUCAUGUCUGAUUCAAACAGAGCGAUAGUUUGAGAAACGACUUUUAAUCAUGUGUCUACUGAAAGACUUUAUUUUAAAACUAAGAAACCAACGAGAUUUGAUUCCUAAUACGACGAACUACAUACGAUAUCGCGCUUAUUUGAUAUUUAAUCUAGAUCGAUUUUAGUUACUUUUCACCUAAUCAUCAAGUAUCAUCCGCCUUAGAUUUACGAAGUACCGUAGAAAAAUGGUAUAUCGAUUCAUUAAUCCCUGUGAGACGAUAUCUUUUAAACUACGCGAUAGACUGUGCACUUGCAGUUAAUACCCCAAUAGACUCAUCGCGAUCUCUUUUGGGCUCUCAAUUCCUCCCAUAUUUGCUUUGUCACUUCAAUCUUUGAAGCCAUACCUCUUCUUCCUGUGCAUAAAGCUAAGACUUCUGAUUGAGAUGGUAAUGCUAACCCAAUUUUAUCUUCAGUUGGGCUUGAAUGCAAGACAUUACGAUCCAAGCAUGUUAUCAUAACCUUGAUGUCUUGUUGGUGAAAGAUUUUGGAUUAGCUUAUAAUUUCAUCAAACACCUUGGGUCUCUCGCUUCACUCAUUGUGUAAUUCUUGUCAAGUGAUUGCAUCUAGACUGAUCAAGUUCUUUCAUUAAGCGAACAAACAAGACUCAUUGUGUCUUUCUGUCCAGACUUCUUUUCAGUUUGACGUUGUCCAUUCCUUCUGAUGUCAUGUGUGUUGUGUCUGGCAAAUGAAUUGUAUCUUCUAAAACUAAUUGAGCACAAUUGAAAACCAGUUCCUCUGUUGUUGUAUAUAUGAUGGUUGGCAUUGUAUCAGUCCGACAUUUUUUCUCUAAAGGCCAUGUGUUGUAGCUAUCAAAAGAUCAUUUUCCAGAUCACUGAUACAGUAAGAGCAAAUGAGUCACUCAUUGUCCUAUCAUUGUCUUGUUGUGUGUGUCUCCUGUUAAUGACAGAUUUUACAAUCACAUACAUUGAACCCCUUCAUGGUAACCUUUUUUUGGUAUUCUGAUUUACUUAACAUCUUUCUUGCUAGUUUCACCAUGGCCCUUUAUAGCCUCCAUUAUAUGCUUGUGGACAAGAUUUUGUUCCACUUCCUAAAGGUUUUUAUGAUAAUAAAGUAUUUAAAAGAACAGAGUGUUUAAUGAACAUUUGUCAAAGUGGUUAAAGGAUUCAAAGGCAUAGAACUAUUACUGAUUGUUAGCUAUAUAUGGAGAAGUAAUGUUAACUGAUUCUAAUUAUCAGAAUCUGACCUAGUUCAUCGCUUUAAAGGCAUCAAACUUUGGCCUCGCAUGACCACUUCUGAUGACGCUUAGACUCUGAAGAUGUGGAGAGCAUUGAUUUAUACUUAUUAAAUUAGUCUUUAUUAAUCAAAGCCCGCAUUUCUGGACAAAGUACUAGAUGGUCUUAGAUUUUCAGGCUCAAGAAAAAGGAUAUGAGUCUUCAGACCGUCUACCUUUGGUAGUACACUAGUUGAUGAAAGAUACUGGAGUUAAUGCUCUUAUCAGUGGAAUAAAUCUUCCCCAGAGACUUUCACGUCUCUAUACAUCUCUUAACUAGUUUGAUGUUGUUCAAAUCUCUAACACUUUUUUCUAUCUCAUAAAAGGAAGUUAAAGAUUCAAAGGAAGGUUACAACAUCACAAAUAUAGUAGAAAGAUCUUAACAUAACUCUGAGUUGUUACUGUGACUGUUUAUANAUGUUUUUAGGUACAUUGCCUAGAUGUAGUCUUUCACGAAAAAAGAAAACGAAAAGAGCAAGAUCGGAGAUUUUCAAUGGAAAAUACACACAUGGUGUUCCACAUGGCGUUGGUCAUGCGGGUAGCCAUGAUGUGUAAGCUUUCACCCACGUUUCAACAACCACAAGACCACGUAUUCCACAUUUUUCAUGACGAACGUCAUGCGCGUAGAUGGUGGGUGCCAUCUUCUUAUUCUGCACCGUGUCAAGGGCGGUUGCUAGGAAAAGGUCAUGACUGAGAUUUUUCUCCACACUAUUUUGAAAGUGUUAUGUAACCUCUGAGGCAUUAUUACACUAUAAUAGGAUUUGGGUUUUUAGUUAUAGGUAUUCAAGUUCUAGUUGCAGCAUAGGCUAUAGAUCACAACCGUUAUAAGCAAUAAUUCUUACACUCAGAGGUUUAGCACCAUUAUUGUAUAACAUUUGGAGCAUCUUAAGUCGAAGUUAAUCUUGCCAUCAUUUUACUUUCAAGUCAUAUUUAUUUCAAGUUUGUACCAGAUUCAAGUCUCCGUUUGGAGCAGGUUUUUAAUAUUAAUUCACAAUCUUUAUUUUAUUUCUCGGUUCGCCUUUAAUUUGUUUAUUUCUCGCUUCGCUUUAAUUGUUUAAUUCUUGUACCGCCUUUAUUGUUUAUUUCUCGCACCGCUUUAAUUUGUUUAUUUUCCUUGCACGAUUAUUUGUCAGAUUAUAGCAAAAGAUUCGUUUUUUAAACCAUACUUUGAACGUAUCAUUCAUGUGGUUCACUUUUAAAACCAGCUACACUUUAACACUUUAUUUCCCUAAAUGACUUAUUCCAUAAAUCAAUUAUUAUGCUAUGUUGUUUAUCGUACCCUGCUAACUAAAUCCUUAGUGCUUGGAAUGUGAGGAUCGUCGUUUCGACGGUACUCUGCAUGUUGUAUAUGUAGGAAUAUUUUUGGGGUUGUUUUGAUUUUAAUACAAGUUUUCUAUGUUUAAUUUGAUCAGUUUAUACAAAAGUAGAUCCAUGACUAAGUCGGGUAAGUAAAGUCGUCUGCAUACUAGAAAAAACUUGGUUGGCUUUUAAUUGAUAAAACAGCGAAAGCAUUUGUUAAAUUAAUUAUGAUAUUUUAAUAUUAUUAUAAAGUUAUUUUUAAAACUAUUUGGAAUGCGUUUAUAGGUUUAAGAUCCGGUUGAUCGAGCAUAUGUCGGAAACACUUUUAUGUUAAAAGUUUCCAAUCAAAAACACUUUUCAACUGAGCCUUAGAGAUAAUUAUAUAAAAAGACUUUUUCACUUUAAUGCAAAACACGACCGGUGCAGCGUGAGCGGCUGGUUAAAAUUAGAGGUUAGGUCCGGUUCGAUUACGCUAACGCGACGGUUCCUUUUUAAUUAACUUUUUUCAAGGAAAAAUAUUGCCCCAUAAGUUUCUAUUUUGAAACAAUAUGAGUAUUAUUUAACUGAUGAAUUACAUUCAUAUUCAUUUUCUCUAAAUUUAUCUUCACUAAUUUUUAAUUCAUGUGCACUCAUCACCUGCUUGAUUAGCCUUAGAUAAACACUGUAUAUAGUAAUCGAUAGAUUGACAUUGAUCUUUGUGUCGGAUGAUCUUUUAUUACUCUAACGUAUUUCGUAUACUUACGGAAGCAUGCAUCAUCUAUGUAUUGGUUUUGUCAUUGAUGUUUGGAUAGGAUAUGUCAAUAUACAAGUUCAUUCUUGUGCAGGUUAUACUUUGUGUCAACUUAUAGGUUGCAUAGUAUGUAUCAAUUAUGUAUGUUCACAAUGUGUAGGUUCAGAGUUGCACAAUUUGUAUUAGUUAAUUUUUCAAAUUACAUGUUGUGUAUGUUCAAAAAAAAUUACAUUACCUAAAAUAGGAUUAUGCCAAAAUUACUUUUCAUUAAAACAAAUAAGAUGUUAUCACAUUACCCAGUACGUCACUUUAUAUGAGAUUAAACAAAUUAAUUUACAAUUUUAUGUAGGUAUUAUGCUAAAACCUUUUUAUUAAAACAAACAAAUUACAUCACAUUACACCAGUACGUCACAUAACAUUACACUAGAAAAUUACAUUACUUUAAUACAUUUGUUCACAAUAAUGCAAACACAAGUAACAAUUAUAACACCAAAGCCAAACCCAAAAUAACCAUAAACUUAAUCUUCAUCUUCAACAUAUCUUUAUUUUUAUUUGUCUCUUUGGUUAAAUCCACAAGCUCGUCAUUCUUUACUUUCAAAAAUUUAUUCACAUCAUUUACACGGUUGCUGUGUCUUCAUCAAACAUUCAAAAUAGUUACAUCAUUUUUCCUCAUCGCCUUAAAAUUACAAAAUAAUAAAAUACUAUUUGGGAUUCUCGUAAAGUCACGAUGUCAUCAAUAUUGACUCAAGCUCAUAUUGAUAUCUAUUCAUUCUUCUUCUUAGACUGACCUAAUUUGUUGAGACAAGUGAGAAUCUUGAUCUAGUCAUGGAUGGAAAAGGGUGAAGAAGAGAAAAAAAGAUGAACAUGAUCAAAGAAAGUGGGUGCAAGAAAAUUAGGGAUGAUGAGUGUUGGUUCUACAAAAGAAAAACAUGUGAUGAAUGAUGAUAAAAUAAAGGGGAUGGGUAAGGGUUACCAUUUUAUUUAUGUUUUUUAUAGUUAUAUUAUAUAUCAAUAUAUUAGAAAUGUUUAAAAUGGAAUUAACCUAAUAAAAUAACAUAAAUGAAUUGAAAUAAUUUUAUAGUGACAUAUAGCCAAAUUAGUGUCAUGUCAUUAAAAAAUACUAUCAGAUUUGAAAGGGAUAAAUCCUUAAAAAUAUAUAAUUAAGGGACUAAGUUAACCGAUUUUAAAAUGGAGGUACCAAAAUUGAAAUUUUAGGAUAAUAGGGGGACCAAGUUGCAAUAUUAAGCAAAAAAAAUUGUAAAUGACUUUGGUAUUUUAACUUUUUAUAAUAAACUUUCUAAUAAAUAGUUAUUAUGAGGAGAUUCAAUUCUCAUUCAUGGUUGUGGGUUUGUUCAAUCUCAACCAUUCAUUUAGUUUAAUGCAAUGUUAAAAAGUGUGAAAACUUAAUAUGAUAUCCAUGUGUUUCAAAACUCAGUAUAUUUAUUUUUGCUUUAAUGUUUUUUUAUUCUCGUAUUCUUUCUCAGGAUUCUUUUAGACUCAUAACUUUUAAAAUGUUCAAAUUGAUCCCUCUAUUUUUUUAAAUGGGCCACAUUUGUCAUUUAUAUUUAUUUCAAUCAAACAUAGUUAUAUUUUUUCUACGUGGCAUACUACUUGUUUCCAUGAAAUUUAUCUUUUUAAAAUUGGGUCACAUUCAUCAUAUUUUGUACCUAGGUUGUUUGAAGAAUUGAGGGAUCAAAAUGGACGUUUUAAAGUUACGAGACAAAAAGAAACUCUGAAUAAGAGACACGGGACAAAAUGGUAUUAAGUAUUGUUUUUGUUGUAAUUUUUACUAUAUACUACAUGGAACAAGUUACCGUCUUGAUGAGGCCCAUGGAAGGAGCUAUGUAGUGAUAGGGGCCACGACCAUUCCAAACAUUUUUUAUAUCGAUGAAAUACUAAAAUAUCUUGUGGUUAAUUAAAUUUUACCGUUUUGUCAUUGCUCACCCUAAUAUUUUCUUCUCUUCAUUUGAAGUAUAUGUUUUCCCUUUUCUCUCUUUCUCAUUUAUUGAACAUAACUCUCAUUAUUCUCUUGUCAUUGUCGUUGUUGCAUGUUCUGAUACGCCACUCAUCGUCGUACGUACGUCCACUAUCGCUCGUUGCGUGCUUUGCUCAACCAGCCAUUCACCAUUGCAUUUUCUCCAAAGUGAGUUUGUGAGUCUAUGAGUUUUCUUUUCAGACAAUUCUGAUUUUUUAUGGGAUUUUCUUAGAUUUUUAAGUUCUUAUUCAUACCACUCCAACGGUGAAGACGAGUACUUAACCGGUACCGCGCAAUUUCCGCAUGUUCAACCGAGUACUCACUAUCCCAGGACCAGUUGAGUGUCAUGCUACACUUUCCUGUAGGGACCAAGUCACCCAAGAAUCCCUCCGAACACGAAGUGGCACAUAAACGCCUUCGACUCUUUGGAAAAAUAUCCGGUGUGGAAACCAAUAACUGGGAUGCACUACUUGCUUCACACAUACAUAACCCCACUAUCCGGUAUUUAUCGUAUUCUGAAAACACCAUUUUUGGUAGACCAACAACAACAAGAGCGAGGAAUGCAAUAACCCGACCAGCGGUUCACUGACUUGCUCAACAGGUUUGAUGACUUGGAAGUACGUCAACGCUCACCGGGUCCGAGAACAGAGGCGGCGCAGGCAUAAUUGGCGCAUUUUAUUUAUUUUUUUCCUUUCUUUUUCGCUUUUCUCUAAAACAUUGGGGACAAUGUUUUAUUUAAGUGGGGGGAAAACUUUUUUCAGUUAUGAUUAUUUCUCUUUCACAUUCCUCUUCAGAGAUGUCAUUUCCCUUUCAUUUAAAUAUAUAUAUAUAUAUAUAUUAUAUAUAUAUAUAUAUAUAUAUAUAUAUAUAUAUAUAUAUAUAUAUAUAUAUAUAUAUAAUAUAUUAUUUUAAGUCGAGUCCUAGUGUGAAAUUUUUAUUAUCUAUUCCUCAUUUUCUCGAGCCAUAACAAAAAUUUAAACCACUCGAUAAGUAUAAAGGUUGCUUAUUUUAUAAAACUUGAGGAAAUUAAGACAAUUAUUACCGCCCCAACACUCUAAAAACCUCAACAUGUUAGAUCAGGCUAAGUACCUAUUAUACCAAUUCCUUGAACUUUUAGUUUUAUGUAACCCCGAGUAGUUUAUACGAGAAGUCGGCCAUCUUAUGCAAACUACGUGGAGAGCCGAUGAAUAUAAGUGAAUGAUUCCCAAAACAAUAUAUUAAAAUCAAGGAAAUGCACUAAUUAAGUUAGGUGAUCCUUCCCCAUCAUUUAAUUCAAAGGUUGCGGACCCUAUAAAAUUGUAUGAACGAUCCAUUGUGAGUUGGUUACGCGGUUUCUGGUGCUGAACUUGGUGGGCGGACUACGAUCCGAUCCCCCGCAAUUUGCAAUGGACUAAAUAACGAAGUUUAUCCAACUUAUGUACCGAGACUUCUAGCUAAAAGGGGAUCGAAUCGCUAACCGGUUACUCCAUUAUGUGCGCGAAAAGAUAAAGGCUUAAUGUGAUUUCGCUAGAAUGAAAACGGGUGAAUAAGAGUAAAAGAACUAGGAUAGGCUAUAAUAGCGUGACUCGAACUGGUUUGCAUAAGGUGGGGUUAUCUGAUGUUGUUACAGGAAUUUUGUGAUGUUAAGAUUAAGCUCAGGUAUUUCUAAACGAGAUUUACUUGCAACCUAAUAUGAAUUGAUGUGUGUUUAGAAAUUUCAUCGGCUAAUAUUUUAAACGACUUCUUAUUGUAUCUUGCUUGGACAAGCAAAGUCUAAGUAUGGGGGAGUUUGAUAACUGAAAUAUAUCACAUUUUUGGACUCGAUUUAUUAAAUUAUAUUAUUAUUGAUUCGAUUUUUUUAUAUUAUUCGAUAUUACUUGGUAUUUUCCUUCUAUUUAUUUCAGGUAACAUUAUUUGAAGCAUACGUGAAAAAGAAAGAAAAGGGGGUGCAAAAAGAGGAUUCUCUAGGAAAAGCAUUCCACUAAAGCCCAACCCACAACUACAAGGAGAAGCGUUGUGACGUUGUGACGACCGCCACACAUGGUGUGACGAGCGUCACGCCCCUCUGCUUAGUGUUACGAGCGUAACACAUGGUGUGACGGACGUCACACCCCCACUCCUAUUUUUCUGCUUUGACGCGCGUAACAGAAGCACGUUCGCCCCUUUUCUUCGCUUGACUCGUUGACGCUUUGGAAAACCUACUGAAGAGACUUUGGAAAAAACGGUUACUUUAUGGAUGAAUAUAAAUAGACCCCAAGGGAUCCAAUUGAAGGUCUCCUCUCUCUUUUCCGUCGUGCAAGUUUUUACAGCAAUAUAUUUUCCAGCAUUCCAUUUUCUCAGCAUUUUUAUUUCCUUAGCAUUUUAUUUUCUUUUCUUUGUUAGCUUAAUUUUUUAGGCAUUCAAUUAAAAAAAAAAAGGAAGGAAAAGGAAGAUCCCCAAAUAAGAAAAAAAGAAAAAAAACUCAUUUUAAAAAAUAACCUUUUUCCCACACUAUUUUGGUUGGUCUUAUUUGAAAUGAAAUGUUGGAAGAAGAAAGGGCGUUCCCCCAACCGCAAAAAAGUAGAGGUAAAUAAGAAAAGAAAGAAAAUGGAACGAAAACGAGGUUAAAAUAUAAAUCAUUUUUCCAACACUAGAAAACCAACAAUCAAGAAAUAUGAAAAUGCAUAUUAUUCCAAGUUUUUAAGCACAAAUACAAAUGAAACUCAAAGCAACAGACACGGGGUUUUAGAUUUAAAUUCCCACAAUGUAUAGGAACAAUCCAAUUCACGUAGUAACCUAACCAAAACUAUCAACAUCCUUUUGAUCACACAAUAAAAAAAAAUAGAAAAUAGGCUAUUUUGUAUGUUAUGCAACGGUGUUUAAGGGACUACUAGCCAAAUAAUAAUUAAAUUAAAAAACCAAAAAUAACAUUCAUUUAUUUUUAUCAUUUACAAUGUCAACAACUACAGACAUAUUAUGAAAUACUUAAUAUUAUUAAUAUUUGUCACAUCUUCUACUCAUUAUAAAAAACGCAAUUUCUUCAUCACCUUCAUUGUAUUCACAUCUCUUUAAUUUUUUUCCAGUCGGUCUUUUUGAUAAAACGCCUUCCACUAUCCUAAUGAUAGUUAAUUCAAAAAUUGGCUUAUCAAUUGGUCUUAUUCUUUUAUUUUUAAAAUUGAAGUUCAGCUUAUAAAUGUCAAGUUGCAAUUAUCAUAGGAAAUUUUUACAAAAAUUUAGAUUCAUUUUUGUAAAGAAAAUUUCUCAAAUAUCCCUGAAUUCAAAAAAAUCCAAAAUUAUCCCAUUUUUAGGAGAGCGCGCAAUUGGAUUGACGCUCUCAGUGUAAAAUACAUUUUUGUGUUUAUGAAAUAGAUAUUGUGUGUAGUCAUUGUUUCCAUCUCAAUUAAGCAUUUGGCAAUCAUGUUUGGUGUUCAUCGGCGAUAACGGAAAGAUGAUUUAUGCGAAAAGACAAACCUCAGAUGUUGAUGUUGUUCUAAAACAUCAGCUACGUAUCGAUCAACUGAAGAGGAAGCUGGUUCGUUGGUUAGAUGGAAAAAUAUACCAGGGGAGACUGUUACAGCGUAGUGUCGCUAGCUUUGAUGACUCUUGACUCUUUCACACCUCAUGCACACACUCACUGAAUAUCUAUGCCUGGACAUUAACACUCCGUUUAGUACCUUCACAUCUUUCACUCUCGAAUACCGACAGACGUAAAGGAUAAUACUUAAAUUAUUUCGUUUAUUUAUGUUAACUUCUUCUACCUAGAUGUAUAAUCCUAUCUUUUUUCACAUUUCAGUUCAUUUGACGUCCAUACCUUAAUUUUGGAUCAUGGACCAUCGCAGGUCAAGCCGCUGAGACGCGGCCGUAUGGGACUGCGUGCACACUGAAGCGGAUGCCGGAUAAUACGGUUCACAAGCUGUGGAGAUGCACAACAGAGUGAUCUGUGUGAAACGCAGUUUGUAUAUGCCCCAAAAACCUCCCAGCCGCCAGCUAGCCUAGGGAGAAUGGCAAUUGCGCAAAAGUUAACGACCAUGGAACUUCAAUCCAUGGCAACAGCAUUCGCAAGAUCGGAUUGCCGCAAGAGAAGCACCGACAAUUGACCAUGUUCAUUAACUAACGCCAGUCAUGUCACUGAAGAAAAACCAAGUCGACUUAUAUGACUUGGUACAGAUCGGUGGUUUUCAGUUCAUCGGCAAGAAAUAUGUUAUUGGUAUCGACCUACGCUCAGAUGGACUUACAACACCUGACACCUCUAACUCUAAACCCCCAACAACAGUGUCAGACAUACACCAACCCCCUAUCCGCGCAAACGUUCCGUUCACCAACCACAUCAAACAUACAACCAAAACAUGUCCUACACCCAACCUCAUAUACAAGAGCCUAUCACAUACCACCACUCCAACAAAAUUGACCAUCAAUCGCUGAGACUCAACAUCGCCCUCGCACUCACCCCAUCACCCUACCAAAGUCGCCUAGCUCAAACACCCCAACCAUCAUUCAACACAACGCUCCUCCUUCCUACAUAGCCAAGAAGCUCAAACCUCACAAAACCUAACUAUCUCCAACACCUAUCUCUAUCCAACAGUGGCGCCAUUCACCUUCCCGAUGCAUCGGUUCAACCCAUGUCUCCCGAUUCAAUCGUUCUCGUUCGCCCAGUUAUCAAUGAGUCUCCACACCCCAACUUCUCUGGCAUGGGUCAUGAAGUUAGCUACGGCGGUCACAUCACGUAUUGUGCAUACUGAAGACUAUGGUCGACUUGAUCUUUGACUAACCUCAACAGACCAUCUCCUAUAGUGAUUUGUGACGCUCCUGACCCUCAGGAUGCUCAACACAACAGUGGUGACGUCAUCAACGGUGGGUUAAGAUCACUGGCGUUAAGGUAGCUAAGGGGAUGUUGGAACGGUAAGGUCGGUAGGUGAUCUCCGAGCGUACACCAUUAGGUCUUUUUUGUGAAACGAAAAUCUUUAUUAAUAUCAAUUGGGUCCCUAUUUCAUAAUUUAUUCUAUCACGCUAACCAUUUAGCAAAAAAAAAUUGAUUUUACACUGAGGUGUCAAUCCAAUUGCGCCUCCCAUUCAGUAUUUUUAAGAGGAGUCGUCAAUUGAAUCUGGUGUCUCCCUAAAAGUAGGGAUAAGUUUGGGAGAAAAAAAAUUGAAACCAGAGAUAUUUUGAAAUUUCUAUGAAAAAAAUGGGUUAUUUUGAAGAAAAAAAAUCCAUUAUAUUGUCUACUUCAUCUUUGUUUUAAUGAUAGUACAAAAAAAAAUUACAGAAUAUCUUCUUAUUCUCGUUCAAUAUGCUGUGUCCUUUUGGAUCCUUUGAGAUGAUGGUGUUAAACUAUUUUAUCUUAUGCAUUACUCUAAUAAGAUUAGAUUUUUUAAAUCACAUAUUUUAAUGCAAAGAAUUAUUAUAUUUGUUAUUAUACUAGUAUAUUAUUAUGUUUGUUAUCUGUUCUAUUUCUUUACACGCAUAUUUGUUAAUUUUUUUAUUCAAAAAUAACCAAAUAGUUUUAACAAAAAAUCUCCAAACAAUUAAGUUUUUUCCACUAAUGCUUAAUAUCAUAGUUGAAUAAAAAUAAAAAAUGUAUAGCACAGUGUUAAUUCAAAUUGACAAAAAAAAAUAGAAUAAUCAAAGGAACAUGAAGCAUAUUAAUGAGAAAGGUAUAUGAUAUUACAAUUCGAAGGAAAAGUAACUGGUCGUCAACAUUGCAAUGAACUCAAGCACAUAUUAACAUGAUAAGAGUUAAGGAAACAAACCCACAACAGAACAUUAGCCCAUCACAAUAUCUCUCAAAUCAAAGACCGCAUCUUGUUUUUAUGGGACCCACCAUCCAGCUAUAAGCGGUUUGUUUUGUUUUUGCCUCUCACAAAAGCAUUUGUUCUGAACCAUUUUAGGCCAACUUAUACAUCGACAUCAUGUAGACAUUUUACAUAAACAUUCAAUGAAAAAAAGCUAUUCUUUUGCAAGAUAUAGUCAAGUUAUACACAUAUACUGAAGGGAUUAACUGCAUGCCAUCCGGUCCAGGGUUUCAAGGCCGUGAAACACCUACAUCUGCCAGCUACAGAAAC